rnacentral:rRNA from 1 species
ACCUACGGGGGCAGCAGUGAGGAAUAUUGGUCAAUGGCCGAGAGGCUGAACCAGCCAAGUCGCGUGAGGGAAGAAUGUCCUAAGGAUUGUAAACCUCUUUUGCCGGGGAGCAACGGGCGCCACGUGUGGCGCCACUGAGAGUACCCGGAGAAAAAGCAUCGGCUAACUCCGUGCCAGCAGCCGCGGUAAUACGGAGGAUGCGAGCGUUAUCCGGAUUUAUUGGGUUUAAAGGGUGCGUAGGCGGAUCGUUAAGUCAGUGGUCAAAUUGAGGGGCUCAACCCCUUCCCGCCAUUGAAACUGGCGCU